CGCAGCUGUCAACAGGAAGACACACUCACCUAUACACUGAUCAAUAACAGCAAAAAACUCAUAGAUCAAAAUUUACUCUUGGGAUCACAAUUCAUAUAUUUAAAUCUUCCUUCUUCAAACAUUUUUGGGCUUUUUCAGAACAGCAAAGCUGGGAGAGAGAGAACAGGGGUCUCUACAGUGGCUUUAUGGCAUAUGGGUGACCUGCUCAACCUGCUGGAGGAGGUGGCUGUGGAGAGGUUCUUCUGAUUGUCUCCCCCUUACAAAC